rnacentral:rRNA from 1 species
GACGAACGCUGGCGGCGUGCCUAAUACAUGCAAGUUGAGCGCUGAAGGUUGGUACUUGUACCGACUGGAUGAGCAGCGAACGGGUGAGUAACGCAUGGGGAAUCUGCCUUUGAGCGGGGGACAACAUUUGGAAACGAAUGCUAAUACCGCAUAAAAACUUUAAACACAAGUUUUAAGUUUGAAAGAUGCAAUUGCAUCACUUAAAGAUGAUCCCGCGUUGUAUUAGCUAGUUGGUGAGGUAAAGGCUCACCAAGGCGAUGAUACAUAGCCGACCUGAGAGGGUGAUCGGCCACAUUGGGACUGAGACACGGCCCAAACUCCUACGGGAGGCAGCAGUAGGGAAUCUUCGGCAAUGGACGAAAGUCUGACCGAGCAACGCCGCGUGAGUGAAGAAGGUUUUCGGAUCGUAAAACUCUGUUGGUAGAGAAGAACGUUGGUGAGAGUGGAAAGCUCAUCAAGUGACGGUAACUACCCAGAAAGGGACGGCUAACUACGUG